rnacentral:rRNA from 1 species
CACACUGGGACUGAGACACUGCCCAGACUCCUACGGGAGGCAGCAGUGGGGAAUUUUGCGCAAUGGGCUAACGCCUGACGCAGCAACGCCGCGUGGAGGAUGAAGGUCUUUGGAUUGUAAACUCCUGUCAGCAGGGAAAAAGGGAGUCGACCUAAUACGUCGGUGACUUGAUUGUACCUGCAGAGGAAGCCCCGGCUAACUCUGUGCCAGCAGCCGCGGUAAUACAGAGGGGGCAAGCGUUAUUCGGAAUUAUUGGGCGUAAAGGGCGCGUAGGCGGCUUGACAAGUGGAAGGUGAAAUCCCUCGGCUUAACCGAGGAACUGCCUUCCAGACUGUUUAGCUUGAGACCAGGAGAGGUGAGUGGAAUUCCCAGUGUAGCGGUGAAAUGCGUAGAUAUUGGGAGGAACACCAGUGGCGAAGGCGGCUCACUGGACUGGUACUGACGCUGAGGCGCGAAAGCGUGGGGAGCAAACGGGAUUAGAUACCCCGGUAGUCCACGCCGUAAACGAUGAGUGCUUGGCGUAGCGGGUAUCGACCCCUGCUGUGCCGAAGUCAACACAUUAAGCACUCCGCCUGGGGAGUACGGUCGCAAGGCUGAAACUUAAAGGAAUUGACGG